rnacentral:rRNA from 1 species
UACAGAGGGGGGCAAGCGUUAUUCGGAAUUAUUGGGCGUAAAGGGCGCGUAGGCGGCCUGGCAAGUGGAAGGUGAAAUCCCUGGGCUUAACCUAGGAACUGCAUUUGUGACUGCAUGGCUAGAGUGUGGUAGAGGGAGAUGGAAUUCCGCAUGUAGCAGUGAAAUGCGUAGAUAUGCGGAGGAACACCAAUGGCGAAGGCAAUCUCCUGGACCUGCACUGACGCUCAUGCACGAAAGCGUGGGGGAGCAAACAGG